rnacentral:snRNA from 1 species
GCACGGGCCGGCUCAACCC